rnacentral:rRNA from 1 species
UCUGUUCUUGAGUACCUCGAGGAACGACUGCCUUGAGGGAAUCCGCCGGAACUAACCGGCAAGGCUAAAUACUUUUGGAGAUCGAUAGUGAACAAGUACCGUGAGGGAAAGGUGAAAAGCAGCCCUAUAAGGGCGUUGAAAUAGAUCCUGAAUCCAUAUACUUACAAAGAGUUGGAGCCGGCUUGUCCGGUGACAGCGUGCCUAUUGAAGAAUGAGCCAACGAGUUGAUGCAUAUUGCUUGACUAAGUCCGGUAAAAUCGGAUGGAGUCGAAGGGAAACCGAGUGUGAAUAGCGCGAUUCAACUUUUUAAUUUUUCACUGGUUAUCUUCAGUGAAAAAUUGAGAAGUUGAUUGUAUUAUGCAUCAGACCCGAAGCGUGAUGAGCUUGCCAUGAGCAGGAUGAACCCUCCAGAAAUGGAGGGGGAGGUCCGAACCGUUUAGCCGUGCAAUACUAUCGGAUGACUUGUGGUAAGGAGUGAAAAGCUAAUCGAAUUACGUAAUAGCUGGUUCUCUCCGAAAUAUCUUUUGGGGUAGCGUCGAGCUUACCCUCUGGGGGUAGAGCACUGGAAGGUCUGAAUAGGGAGAAAUCUCGUCAGUCCUAUCAAACUCCGAAUACCAGAGGUAACUGCUCGGCAGUUAGACUGCGGGGGCUAAGCUCCGUCGGUCAAAAGGGGAACAGCCCAGAUCUCCAGUUAAGGUCCCUAAAUCUAUGCUAAGUGCACUUAAGAAGGUGAAAUUUCUCUGACAAUGAGGAGGUUGGCUUAGAAGCAGCCAUCCUUUAAAGAAAGCGUAAUAGCUCACUCAUCAAGAGAUUUUGCAUCGCAGAUUAUCGGGGCUAAGCAUAGUACCGAAGCUGAGGGCUUUCGAUCCAUUCGUGGAUUGGGAGCGGUAGGAGAGCAUUCUGUACCGCUGUGAAGCAGAAGGGUGACCUUUUGUGGAGCGUACAGAAGAGAAAAUGUUGGCACAAGUAACCACAAUGCGGGUGAGAUCCCCGCACGUCGAAAGAACAAGGAUUCCUUGGCAAUGGUAAUCAACCAAGGGUUAGUCGGGCCUAAGCCGAUGGCGAAAGCCGCAGGCGAUGGACACAUGGUUAAUAUUCCAUGACUUCUGUAUGUUUCGAAGGAGGGACGGAGUUCAGUAUGUCUAGUGCAUAAUUGGAUUUGCAUUCGUGCAGUUAAGGAUAGCUCUUAGGCAAAACCGGGAGCGUUAUUCCAAGCUGAGCGAAAAUUCCGAGGGCAACCGAGGGAAAUUAGACAAAGCGGGCUUCCAAGAAAAACUUCUACGAUUAAGCAUAUAGAAACCGUACCGCAAACCGACACAGGUGUUCAGCUCGAGUAGAGUAAGACGAACGAAUGAAAGAUCCUCAAGGAACUCGGCAAAAAAGCGGCCGUAAGUUCGCGAUAAGGCCUGCCCACUUCAUGUGGGCCGCAGCUAAAGUAUCCCUGGCGACUGUUUAUCAAAAACACAGCUCCCUGCGAACUCGCAAGAGAAAGUAUAGGGGGUGACGCCUGACCAAUGCCAGAAGGUCAAAUAAGACUGGUGAGAUUACAUCAAGCUGGUUUUAUAAGCCCUGGUGAAUGUCGGCGAUAACUAUAAUCGUCCUAAGGUAGCGCAAUUCCUUGUCGGGUAAGUUCCGACGUGCACGAAUGGCGUAACGACUGGGGAACUGUCUCGAGGAUUUAUUCGGUGAAAAUACAGUGGGGGUGAAGAUGCCCUCUUCCUGCAGCUAGACGAAAAGACCCCAGAAGCUUUACUAUAGCUUGAUAUUGAGUAUGAGUUUUUACUGCGUAGCAUAGAUGGGAGGAUUUGAAGCAAGGGUUUCGGUUCUUGUGGAUCCAACAGUGAAAUACCAUUCUGUGAAGAGUCAUAUUCUAACUUGUCCGGAAAAAACGGACGAAGACAGUAUCUGGUGGGUAGUUUUGGUGGGGCGCUAUCCUCCUAAAAAGUAACGGAGGAGUCUAUUAAGGUUGGCUAGGCGCGAAUGGAAACCGUGCCGAUAGUGUAAUGGCA